GUCCACGCCCUAAACGAUGAUUACUCGACAUUUGUGAUACACUAUAAGUGUCUGAGCGAAAGCAUUAAGUAAUCCACCUGGGAAGUACGACCGCAAGGUUGAAACUCAAAGGAAUUGGCGGGGUCCGCACAAGCGGUGGAGCAUGUGGUUUAAUUCGAUGAUACGCGAGGAACCUUACCUGGGCUAGAAUGCUGGGAGACCGUGAGUGAAAGCUCAUUUUGUAGCAAUACACUGCCAGUAAGGUGCUGCAUGGCUGUCGU
rnacentral:rRNA from 1 species